rnacentral:rRNA from 1 species
UACGUAGGGUGCAAGCGUUGUCCGGAUUUAUUGGGUUUAAAGGGUGCGUAGGCGGCCCUGUAAGUCAGUGGUGAAAUACUCCAGCUUAACUGGAGGGGUGCCAUUGAUACUGCAGGGCUUGAGUUAAGUUGAAGUUGGCGGAAUUGACGGUGUAGCGGUGAAAUGCUUAGAUAUCGUCAAGAACACCGAUAGUGAAGACAGCUAACUAAACUUUUACUGACGCUGAGGCACGAAAGUGUGGGGAUCAAAC